rnacentral:sRNA from 1 species
GCGAGUCGCGCUGUGCGGGUGUCGGAGAUGGCGGGGCUUCAGCACCUCAGCCGUCCUGGGCCGCCGGACACCCCCGCUGGGGCCGAUGCCCAACAGUGACAUCGACUUGAGCAACCUGGAGCGGCUGGAGAAGUACCGGAGCUUCGACCGCUACCGGCGCCGGGCAGAGCAGGAGGCGCAGGCCCCGCACUGGUGGCGGACCUACCGGGAGCAUUUCGGGGAGAAGACAGAUCCCGAAGAAAAGAUUGAUAUUGGGCUGCCUCCACCCAAAGUCUCCCGGACCCAACAGCUACUGGAACGGAAACAGGCCAUCCGGGAGCUUCGGGCCAAUGUGGAAGAGGAGCGGGCUGCCCGCCUCCGCACAGUGUCCCGCUGGAUGCUGUGCGGGCCGAGUGGGAGAGGACCUGUGGCCCCUACCACAAGCAGCGUCUGGCUGAGUAUUACGGCCUCUACCGAGACCUGUUCCACGGUGCUACCUUUGUGCCCCGAGUCCCUCUGCACGUGGCCUACGCUGUGGGUGAGGACGACCUGAUGCCCGUGUACUGUGGCAAUGAGGUGACUCCAACCGAGGUAACCGCUCACUUGUGCCCCUCCUCCCUGCAAGCACAGACACAUCCCAUCUCAGUGUCACAGACACUCCUGGGUUUGGAAUUUUGUUGUUCUCUGUCUCUUUGAUUUCCUGGAAGACAACACCAUGACAAUUUCAAAGAAAAUAGAACA